rnacentral:rRNA from 1 species
AGCAGCCGCGGUAAUUCCAGCUCCAAUAGCGUAUAUUAAAGUUGUUGCAGUUAAAAAGCUCGUAGUUGAACUUCGGGAUUUACCCAUUGGUCAGGCUUAAUUGUCUGUACUGGUGAGAUAAAUCUCUACCUUCUGAGGAACUUUCAUGCCAUUUAUUUGGUGUGAUUGGAAAUCAGGACUAUUACUUUGAAAAAUUAGAGUGUUUAAAGCAGGCUAACGUCUGAAUAUAUUAGCAUGGAAUAAUGAAAUAGGACGGCUUGGUUCUAUUUCGUUGGUUUCUAGGAUCACCGUAAUGAUUAAUAGGGAUAGUUGGGGGCAUUAGUAUUCAAUUGUCAGAGGUGAAGUUCUUGGAUUUAUUGAAGACUAACUACUGCGAAAGCAUUUGCCAAGGAUGUUUUCAUUAAUCAAGAACGAAAGUUAGGGGAUCGAAGACGAUCAGAUACCGUCGUA